rnacentral:rRNA from 1 species
GAUGAACGCUGGCGGCGUGCCUAAUACAUGCAAGUCGAGCGAACAGACGAGGAGCUUGCUCCUCUGACGUUAGCGGCGGACGGGUGAGUAACACGUGGAUAACCUACCUAUAAGACUGGGAUAACUUCGGGAAACCGGAGCUAAUACCGGAUAAUAUAUUGAACCGCAUGGUUCAAUAGUGAAAGACGGCUUUGCUGUCACUUAUAGAUGGAUCCGCGCCGCAUUAGCUAGUUGGUAAGGUAACGGCUUACCAAGGCAACGAUGCGUAGCCGACCUGAGAGGGUGAUCGGCCACACUGGAACUGAGACACGGUCCAGACUCCUGCGGGAGGCAGCAGUAGGGAAUCUUCCGCAAUGGGCGAAAGCCUGACGGAGCAACGCCGCGUGAGUGAUGAAGGUCUUCGGAUCGUAAAACUCUGUUAUUAGGGAAGAACAAAUGUGUAAGUAACUAUGCACGUCUUGACGGUACCUAAUCAGAAAGCCACGGCUAACUACGUG